AUUGAACGCUGGCGGCAUGCCUUACACAUGCAAGUCGAACGGCAGCACGGGUGCUUGCACCUGGUGGCGAGUGGCGAACGGGUGAGUAAUACAUCGGAACAUGUCCUGUAGUGGGGGAUAGCCCGGCGAAAGCCGGAUUAAUACCGCAUACGAUCUACGGAUGAAAGCGGGGGACCUUCGGGCCUCGCGCUAUAGGGUUGGCCGAUGGCUGAUUAGCUAGUUGGUGGGGUAAAGGCCUACCAAGGCGACGAUCAGUAGCUGGUCUGAGAGGACGACCAGCCACACUGGGACUGAGACACGGCCCAGACUCCUACGGGAGGGAGCAGUGGGGAAUUUUGGACAAUGGGGGAAAGCCUGAUCCAGCAAUGCCGCGUGUGUGAAGAAGGCCUUCGGGUUGUAAAGCACUUUUGUCCGGAAAGAAAUCCUUGGCCCUAAUACGGUCGGGGGAUGACGGUACCGGAAGAAUAAGCACCGGCUAACUACGUG
rnacentral:rRNA from 1 species